rnacentral:rRNA from 1 species
CCUACGGGCGGCAGCAGUGGGGGAUAUUGCACAAUGGGGGAAACCCUGAUGCAGCGACGCCGCGUGUGGGAAGACGGUCUUCUGGAUUGUAAACCACUGUCCCCAGGGACGAAAAUGACGGUACCUGGGGAGGAAGCUCCGGCUAACUACGUGCCAGCAGCCGCGGUAAUACGUAGGGAGCACGCGUUGUCCGGAAUUACUGGGUGAAAAGGGAGCGUAGGCGGGGAUGCAAGUUGGGUGUCAAAACUACCGGCUCAACCGAUAGUCGCACUCAAAACUGCAGCUCUUGAGUGAAGUAGAGGCAGGCGGAAGUCCUAGUGUAGCGGUGAAAUGCGUAGAUAUUAGGAGGAACACCAGUGGCGAAGGCGGCCUGCUGGGCUUUUACUGACGCUGAGGCUCGAAAGUGUGGGGAGCAAACAGGAUUAGAUACCCGUGUAGUC